GGCGGCGUGCUUAACACAUGCAAGUCGAACGAUGAACCACUUCGGUGGGGAUUAGUGGCGAACGGGUGAGUAACACGUGGGCAAUCUGCCCUGCACUCUGGGACAAGCCCUGGAAACGGGGUCUAAUACCGGAUACUGACCCUCGCAGGCAUCUGCGAGGUUCGAAAGCUCCGGCGGUGCAGGAUGAGCCCGCGGCCUAUCAGCUUGUUGGUGAGGUAAUGGCUCACCAAGGCGACGACGGGUAGCCGGCCUGAGAGGGCGACCGGCCACACUGGGACUGAGACACGGCCCAGACUCCUACGGGAGGCAGCAGUGGGGAAUAUUGCACAAUGGGCGAAAGCCUGAUGCAGCGACGCCGCGUGAGGGAUGACGGCCUUCGGGUUGUAAACCUCUUUCAGCAGGGAAGAAGCGAAAGUGACGGUACCUGCAGAAGAAGCGCCGGCUAACUACGUGCCAGCAGCCGCGGUAAUACGUAGGGCGCGAGCGUUGUCCGGAAUUAUUGGGCGUAAAGAGCUCGUAGGCGGCUUGUCACGUCGGUUGUGAAAGCCCGGGGCUUAACCCCGGGUCUGCAGUCGAUACGGGCAGGCUAGAGUUCGGUAGGGGAGAUCGGAAUUCCUGGUGUAGCGGUGAAAUGCGCAGAUAUCAGGAGGAACACCGGUGGCGAAGGCGGAUCUCUGGGCCGAUACUGACGCUGAGGAGCGAAAGCGUGGGGAGCGAACAGGAUUAGAUACCCUGGUAGUCCACGCCGUAAACGGUGGGCACUAGGUGUGGGCGACAUUCCACGUCGUCCGUGCCGCAGCUAACGCAUUAAGUGCCCCGCCUGGGGAGUACGGCCGC
rnacentral:rRNA from 1 species